rnacentral:rRNA from 1 species
UACGUAGGGUGCAAGCGUUGUCCGGAAUCAUUGGGCGUAAAGCGCGUGUAGGCGGCUUGUUAAGUCCGCUCUGAAAGCCCGGGGCUCAACCCCGGGAGGCGGGUGGAUACUGGCAAGCUCGAGUCCGGAAGAGGAGACUGGAAUUCCCGGUGUAGCGGUGAAAUGCGCAGAUAUCAGGAAGAACACCAAUGGCGAAAGCAGCUCUCUGGGACGGUACUGACGCUGAGACGCGAAAGCGUGGGGAGCGAACAGG